ACCCAUUUCAUCCCCAUUUCUGCGCUUCGUCUUCUUCCCUAAACCGACAAUCCAUCCACACUCCAGAAAUGGAGAUGAAGUCAUAGAAAACCAAAAGAGCAGCUCACUCCGUAAUCCACCGGUUCAACCUAGUCUUCUUCCCCAUUUCUGCCCUUCGUGGUCGUUUUCCUUGCAAAGCCAUAGACGACCACUCCGUACACAGAAAUGGAGACAAAGCCAGAAAAAACCAAACGCCAACUUCACUCUGUAAUUUCUAACACCAAAUUUAACUCCAAUCUGCACCUAAUUAGCUACAAUAAUCAUCGUAAACCAAUUAUUACAGCCAUUCGUACCGUCUUCGACCUAAGUUGCAUCGAAAGAGAAAACUCAACAUCCAUGGCUAUACAUAGGCUGUCUACAUCACCUGGUCUAUGUACACCUGAGAGUGAAGGAGGGAAAAUAAGAGUUGAAAGCCACUCCAAAGAUUUGACGGUGUACAUGCAGAGCAAUCAUGAAGUCGAAAAGCUCCUCUCCAAAAAUCUCAAAAUCUAAGACAAAUUUGAUAAAGGUAAAUACAUUAUGAUAACAGUGUUGAUUCUUGUUGUUAUGUGUUCAACAUUUUAGAUCCUUUAAUUAUUCGAUCUUAUUUCAUCAAUUUAGGCCCCAAUUCUUUCUUUUAAUUAGUUUUUUUUUUUUUUUUUGGUAAAAUUUUGUUUGAAAUCUAUGUUCCAAUUUUGGGCAAUUUUAUUUAUAUGGCUUUCCAGCUGUUCUUUGGUCAGUUUCUUCAUCAUUGUGUCAGUGUAACUCAAGUACUCAACAGUUUUAUCUCUUGUUACCAGAAAAUGGCAAAUGAUGAAACAUAAUUCUGAUGCCCAAUUUUCUCAAUUUUUAUUAACUAUUACUACAUCUAUUAGUUGCUACAUAGCCCAUUAAUUUUGAAGUUAUGGGUUGAUUUUGUGAUGCCUGCUUUGAUUAUAAAGUUCAAAGCAGGUUCAGAUUAUGAUCUAAUCUAUAGCCCUAUUUCUAAACUUUGUUGAUUAAAAAUCAAAUUUUUUAAGUAUAUAAAGGAUUAGAAUCCAACACAUUAAUUCAAAAAGUGCAAUUCGUUUUGAACUGAUAAUGACUGUAACAAAAUAUAUUGACUUAACAUUUAAUCUAACUUGAAACUGUAUUUUUAAAGUAUAUUUUACAAAAGUUGAUGCCUACUGUUGAUUCUUAAGUUUUAUAAGUUUCUGAUGCUUGCUUUGAUUUAUUGAGCCUCAAAUCUUCAACUUCGAUUUAUUUGAUAGUGGCUGUAACCUAAUAUUUUGACUUAAAGUUUAAUCUAACGAUAAACUGUAACAUUUUUUUUUAAAGUUGUGAGUACCUAAAUUGAGGCCUACUAUUGAUUCUUAAGAUGUUUAAGUUUGUGAUGUCUACUUUGAUUUAUUAUUCUUCAAAUCUUCUACUUUUUGCAAUCAAGUGGAUUCCGAUUUUUGAAAUCAAGUUGAUUCAAAUUUUCUAAAUUUUUUUUUACAUAAGUUGAUUCCUAUUUUGUUUAUGAAGAUUAUUAAGUUUUUGAUACAGUUGUCUUUAGUUUCAUAUUUAUCAGUUAAUUAUAUAGAAUGUGAGAUACAUACAUCUAGAUACAUUCUAAAUCACAUUAGUGACUUAUAGAGUUAGAAUUUUUUUUAGUGAGAUAAAUAAAAUCUGUCAAAGAUUAUAUGCUAUCUAUGUACAUCUAGAUACAUUCUAAGACCUAUAGUUCUAGGAAUCUGCCUUGAAUCUGUCUUCAAUUCAUUGCACUGCCCCAUCACAACAGCAACAUUACAGUCCUGAAACCAUUGUUAAACACAUUGAAAAAUAUAGAAUAAUAGAAAGAAAAAUAUCAUAAGAAAACAUAUAACAAAAUAUUAGGCAUCAGAAUAGGAAUCACUUUACUUUCAAUUGUCUUUAGAGUUUUAGAGGCCCAAAAAAUUUUAGUUCAAAAAAUCCAAAACAAAAGUCAAUUUAAGUUCAAUUUCUCCUUCUUCACAUGCUUAAAUUAAAAUACCUAUGUUUUUCUUUGCAGUUAUAUAACCUGUACUAUAAUAGGUUACUUUGCUCUUUAUCAUGUGGUGCCACACCUAUAAAACAUUAUUUUCCAAAAAAAAUAAAAUAAUGGAUUAGUAUACUACACACCGUAUUAGUAAGUAUCAAUGAAAUCAAAUUCAAUUAUGAAAUACAGAUUCCAUAAUUCAUGUUAUAUGAGCAAUGGAGCCUUCUUUUGUACUGUUCAGUAGGUAGACUUCUUUUGUAAUGUUUCCAUGAAUAUAUUCUCUCUGAAAUGACAGGAGAAGAAAUGUUUCAAUAGGUAGAAUCAGUUGUUAGUAAGCAUUUCAUAAAACAAUCAGAUGCUGAAAAAAAAAAAAA